rnacentral:rRNA from 1 species
GAGUUUGAUCCUGGCUCAAGAUGAACGCUGGCGGCGUGCUUAACACAUGCAAGUCGAACGGGGAUUACACGGCGAUGCGAUUUCGGUCAAAUCAAGUGCAAUCUUAGUGGCGGACGGGUGAGUAACGCGUGGGUAACCUGCCUUGCACUGGGGGAUAACACUUAGAAAUAGGUGCUAAUACCGCAUAAGCGCACGGUCCUGCAUGGGACAGUGUGAAAAACUCCGGUGGUGCAAGAUGGACCCGCGUCUGAUUAGCUGGUUGGCGGGGUAAAGGCCCACCAAGGCGACGAUCAGUAGCCGGCCUGAGAGGGUGGACGGCCACAUUGGGACUGAGACACGGCCCAAACUCCUACGGGAGGCAGCAGUGGGGAAUAUUGCACAAUGGGGGAAACCCUGAUGCAGCGACGCCGCGUGAGUGAAGAAGUAUCUCGGUACGUAAAGCUCUAUCAGCAGGGAAGAACAUGACGGUACCUGACUAAGAAGCCCCGGCUAACUACGUGCCAGCAGCCGCGGUAAUACGUAGGGGGCAAGCGUUAUCCGGAUUUACUGGGUGUAAAGGGAGCGUAAACGGCAGCACAAGUCUGGAGUGAAAUCCCGGGGCUUAACCCCGGAACUGCUUUGGAAACUGGGCGGCUGGAGUGGCAGAGGGGUAACCGGAU